GGGGACGACGUCAAGUCAUCACGGCCCUUACGUCCUGGGCCACACACGUGCUACAAUGGUGGAUACAGAGGGCAGCUACCCCGCGAGGGGAUGCGAAUCUCGAAAGUCCAUCUCAGUUCGGAUUGGAGUCUGCAACUCGACUCCAUGAAGUUGGAAUCGCUAGUAAUCGCGUAUCAGCUACGACGCGGUGAAUACGUUCCUGAGCCUU
rnacentral:rRNA from 1 species